rnacentral:rRNA from 1 species
GACGAACGCUGGCGGCGUGCUUAACACAUGCAAGUCGAACGGAAAGGCCCUGCUUUUGUGGGGUGCUCGAGUGGCGAACGGGUGAGUAACACGUGAGUAACCUGCCCUUGACUUUGGGAUAACUUCAGGAAACUGGGGCUAAUACCGGAUAGGAGCUCCUGCUGCAUGGUGGGGGUUGGAAAGUUUCGGCGGGUGGGGAUGGACUCGCGGCUUAUCAGCUUGUUGGUGGGGUAGUGGCUUACCAAGGCUUUGACGGGUAGCCGGCCUGAGAGGGUGACCGGCGACAAUGGGACUGAGAGACGGCCCAGACUGCUACGGGAGGCAGCAGUGGGGAGUAUUGUACAAUGGGCGGAAGCCUGAUGCAGCAACGCCGCGUGCGGGAUGACGGCCUUCGGGUUGUAAAACGCUUUCGGCUGUGACGAAGCGUGAGUGACGGUAAUGGGUAAAGAAGCACCGGCUAACUACGUG